CGCCGGGACCGCGGGAGACCCAGACAAAGACGAUCCCUGAAAAGGACACCCCGGAGAGACCAGCAGAGCGCGCCCCGCACGGGACAGAAGCGAAGAAAGGGUUUCAGGACUGCCCAAGGACAUGGAGGAGUAGACUGGGGUGACAGAGGCCUUCCUUGGCUGCUGAUGCUCAGGUCUGCCCUGUGUCCUUGUCAAGGGCCAUCAAGUUGCUACUUGUUUAUCCCCAGUGACUGAGCACUCACCCCUUCUCUGUGCAUUUCCACCCUGUCGUUGGACAGCUCCUACAGUCAUUUUGGCAUAAGGCAACAAAUGAUAACAGUGAACACUACUGGCACCAGUCCACACUGUGGACCCAUUCAUGCAUCCAGUCACCAGUCAUUCAGCAGGUAGAGGAUAAACAUCCAUGUGCCAUCCCCUCUGCAAGAUGCUGGAAAUGAAAAGAUGAGAAAGCCCAAGCUGCCCUACCCUCUAUGACCCUGGACAAGUGGCACUGCCUAUUUGAGCCUCACUUUCCUCCUCUGUCAACUAGGAUUAAGGAGGCAUGGUUAGAAAAUUAAAUGAGAUAACACAGUG